GCGCGCGAGAGAGCGUGCGUAGCGAGUUAUCUGGGAGCCCAUCGCGGCGCGAAUCAUAUUUCCUCCGGUUCCCACGCAACCCACUUUUCGUAUAACUCUCUCCACACUCUUCCUCUCCUUCUCUUCUUCUUCAUUCGCUUCCUGCAGAGAUCCAUUCUUCGUGGAAGAUGGAGCACCACCACGGCACCGAGGAUCACCGCCGAAGAAGCUCCUCAGAGUCCGUGAAUUCCGUCGAUGUUGGCGAUGGUGGCCAUGACGGUCAUUCUUCCGGGUCCACUGACAUGAGUUCCCCUAUCCACAAGAUGCCUGGGGACGCAUCAACAUCUGGAAAGUCAGAAUCAGACUCCGCCCAGCUUUCAAGGACUGGGCAGUGGAGACAAAACAACAAACUUGGUCUUCUUACAGCUAAAUUUUUUGAUGAAAAAGUUCCUCUGAAAAAGAAGCUUAAAUGGUUAAAGCGAGCUGCUACUGAAAGUGAUGGUACUGUGCAGUUUGAAGUUCCAGGCGACAUCGCAUCGCAAAGUCUAAAUUUUGGAACUGGAGUUGUUUAUAAUGGAGCUACUGAAGAACCAGUUCCUGAGGACGUCCCUGAUUUACCUCCACUGCAGAUUGUAAUGCUUAUUGUUGGGACCCGGGGAGAUGUCCAACCCGCUGUUGCUAUCGGAAAAUGCUUACAGGAACAUGGGCAUAGGGUGAGACUGGCCACUCAUGUGGAUUUCAAAGAAUUUGUCUUUACGGCAGGGCUAGAGUUCUAUCCUUUAGGUGGAGAUCCUAAAGUUCUUGCUGGAUAUAUGGUAAAAAAUAAAGGCUUUUUUCCUUCAGGACCUUCAGAAACACACAUCCAGAAUCAAAUAAAAGAUAUCAUAUUCUCGUUGCUCCCAGCUUGCAUGGAUCCAGAUCCUGAUACCCAUUUAGAAUUUAACGCCAAUGCAAUAAUUGCUAAUCCCCCAGCAUAUGGGCAUACACAUGUAGCUGAAGCGCUGAAUCUGCCACUUCAUGUAGUUUCCACAACGCCAUGGACGCCUACUAGUGAAUUCCCCAAACUUUUGUCCCAUGUGAAGCAACCAGUUGGCUACAGAGUAAAAGAUGUGAUCAACGAGUUCAGAAAGAAAAAAUUGAGGCUAAGACCUGUCACUUCUUUACGUGGAUCCCAUAGCUCUCCUCCUGAUGUGCCUUAUGCUUAUAUCUGGAGCCCUCACCUAGUCCCCAAACCGAAAGAUUGGGGACCAAAAAUUGAUGUGGUCGGAUUUUGUUUCCUUGAUCUUGCAUCAAGUUAUCAACCACCAGAAUCUCUUGUCAAAUGGCUAGAGAGAGGUGAAAAGCCUAUCUACAUUGGUUUUGGUAGCCUUCCAGUUCAGGAACCAGAGAAGAUGACUGAGAUCAUAGUUAAGGCUCUGGAAAUUACUUGUCAAAGAGGCAUCAUCAACAAAGGCUGGGGUGGUCUUGGGAAUUCUGCAGAACAAAAGGACUUUGUCUAUUUGCUUGAUAAUUGCCCUCACGACUGGCUUUUCCAGCACUGCAGUGCUGUGGUACAUCAUGGAGGAGCUGGUACAACCCAUGCCGGUCUUAAAGCCGUGGUAACUACAUAUGCCAACUUUGGGGAUUCAUGUUGUUUUCUCUCUUUGGACUAAAUUGAUUUAUCUCUCUUCUCAACAGUGUCCGAUGACAGUUGUACCUUUCUUUGGGGACCAGCCCUUUUGGGGAGAUCGGGUGCAUUCAUGGGGGUUGGGCCCGGCGCCAAUUCCAGUUGAUGAUUUCUCUCUUGAAAAGUUGGUUGAUGCAAUACGUUUCAUGCUGGAUCCAAAGGUGAAAGAGCGCGCAGAAGAACUGGCCAAAGUCAUGGAACUUGAAGAUGGAGUGGAGGGAGCAGUGAAGGCUUUCUACAAACACUUUCCAACCGAAAAGCUCAAGUUGGAUCCGGAGUCAUUGCCUGCUCAUUCAAUGCACUCCCAUUCAAGUCCCCUGUCGUUAAGACAAUGUUUUGGUUGCUAAUGAUUUUCGGAUGUUGAGUCUCCACCGUGGACCUGUGUGGCCCAUGUCUGUAUUCUCAAACAGUUGCAAAAUUGCUGUAUUCCUAAUCACUGGUAAUUUGAAUUUCAUCAAUCCUACUGCGUUUCAGUGUC